CUUCCCUUUUCACUUUCUCUUUCCCACCAUUUGCCUGAAGCUCCUCAUCCCCUUCCUUGUGCCUCCUCAGAAUUCUACCAGUGCACCUCAUUCAGACAUUCAUCAAGAAAAAGGCCAGCUGAAGGCAGACAGCCAACAAAACUCAGUCGUUAGCCACAGCCCUGGCUGUCCUCGUCCAUCAAGCCUGCCCAUUGUGAGCUUCCAUUCAUCUUACCUGUCUGUUAUGGAAGAGUGAAGUGGAAAAGGCAUGGAGGACUCAGAAGACCUGCUACCGAGAAGAGAUAUCACAGAGCUGGCAGAGUUAAUGAGUAUCUUGGACAAUUGCACCAAAUGCAAUGGAUUGGGAUCACUAAAUCAAGACGUAAUUUGAUAGAAAUAAAGGUAAGGCCACUUUAUUCCAGAUACCAACUGCAAAAGAGACAAGAUAAUAGAGAAAGUUUGGGCUUUAGCAGCACUAAUGAUUGAAAAAGUCACAGGGCUUUAGUUAGUAUCAGUCAACUUUAUGAAUCAGCUACCCAGAAAGGCUAAUAUGAUUUUAGGAUGCACUACUAUAAAUGAAGUAACUAGAAUGACAAGAAAAUUGACCUUUAUUUUAUGCCAAUCAUUCCACAUCAAAUGUGCCUCAGGUUAGGUGCCAAACUCUAGGAGGCUAUUCAUAAAUUAACCUAUAUUCGGAGAAACCAACAAGUCUGAAAAAGGGACUUGAAAUCAUGUAUACGAUGAUACAUUGAAACAAGAGAUUUUCAGCCUGAAAGAGAGUAAAGUAGCAUUGGAAAAGAAGAAGCAUAGUUGGAGUAUUUAUUUCUUAAUUUGCUUUUUCAUGAUUUAUUGCUUUAUAAUUAUAAAAGUCACAUGGUUGUCCCUGGGUAUCCGGGGUGGGGGGCGGAUUGGUUCUAGGACCCUCAUGAAUAUGAAAAUCCAUGGAUACUCAAGUACCUGAUAGAAAAUGGUGUAGUAUUUGCAUAAAACCUUUGCACAUCCUCUUGUAUACGCCAAGUCAUGUUUAGAUUACUUAUAAUACUUAAUAUAUUAGGAGAUAUACCUAAUGUUAAAUGAUGAGUUAAUGGGUGCAGCACACCAACAUGGCACAUGUAUACAUAUGUAACAAACCUGCACGUUGUGCACAUGUAUCCUAAAACUUAAAGUAUAAUUUAAAAAAAUAAUAUAAAUGCUAUGUAAAUAGUUGCUAAUAUUAUAUUGUUUAGGGAAUAAUGACAAGGAAAAUAGGCUUGAAUAUGGUCAGUUCAAAUGCAACCAUCUUUUUUCCCCCUAAUAUUUGUUUAUCUGUGGCUGGUUGGAAUCUAUGGAUGUGGAACUAAUGGAUGUAGA
rnacentral:lncRNA from 10 species